rnacentral:tRNA from 1 species
GGAGAAUUGGCCGAGUGGUUGAAGGCACUGUCUUGGAAAGGCAGCGAAGUGAAUGCUUCCGAGAGUUCGAAUCUCUCAUUCUCCGCCA